rfam:Anolis carolinensis unplaced genomic scaffold chrTn0043, whole genome shotgun sequence.
GAGGUUCCCGCUUCAACAGUGAUUGGACGGAACCCC